rnacentral:rRNA from 1 species
UACGAAGGGGGCUAGCGUUGUUCGGAUUUACUGGGCGUAAAGCGCACGUAGGCGGACUGUUAAGUCAGGGGUGAAAUCCCGGGGCUCAACCCCGGAACUGCCUUUGAUACUGGCAUUCUCGAGUCCGGAAGAGGUGAGUGGAAUUCCGAGUGUAGAGGUGAAAUUCGUAGAUAUUCGGAGGAACACCAGUGGCGAAGGCGGCUCACUGGUCCGGUACUGACGCUGAGGUGCGAAAGCGUGGGGAGCAAACAGG